AGUGAACGCUGGCGGUAGGCCUAACACAUGCAAGUCGAACGGCAGCACAGUAAGAGCUUGCUCUUUCGGGUGGCGAGUGGCGGACGGGUGAGGAAUACAUCGGAAUCUACUUUUUCGUGGGGGAUAACGUAGGGAAACUUACGCUAAUACCGCAUACGACCUACGGGUGAAAGCAGGGGAUCUUCGGACCUUGCGCGAUUGAAUGAGCCGAUGUCGGAUUAGCUAGUUGGCGGGGUAAAGGCCCACCAAGGCGACGAUCCGUAGCUGGUCUGAGAGGAUGAUCAGCCACACUGGAACUGAGACACGGUCCAGACUCCUACGGGAGGCAGCAGUGGGGAAUAUUGGACAAUGGGCGCAAGCCUGAUCCAGCCAUACCGCGUGGGUGAAGAAGGCCUUCGGGUUGUAAAGCCCUUUUGUUGGGAAAGAAAAGCAGCAGGUUAAUACCCCGCUGUUCUGACGGUACCCAAAGAAUAAGCACCGGCUAACCUCGUG
rnacentral:rRNA from 1 species